AAAGCUGUGAGGAACCUCAGCUAGCGACCACUGAGGAGUCACCGAUGGAAACUGGCCCCGACACCGGCCAAACAGAGAGCUCAGCAACGAAACUGAGCGAGGAGGAGGUGAAGGAGAUUGAGGAGGAGGAUAACAUCACCCCACUCUCGGAGAAAUACCCAGU